GGGCGAGCGAGACACGAAGAUCCGGGCAGUCCUCACCGACGCAGCCGCGUAAGCGGACGCGCACGGAGACAAUUCGGCCGCCUAGACGGCCCGGGGAGUGAGUGGCGAGACCGGCUCGUUCGAGC
rnacentral:ncRNA from 1 species